CUAGCGUAACUGAAAGUGGACCUCGGCAUUAGCAGCUCACUUCUCCUUUCUCGGUUUUACUAUUCCUCCCAUCUUGUAAGUUAACGGGGAACUAACUCCCCCCUUCCUCCUCAUCAAGCAAAAUAUUGUAUUCUUAUCUCAGAUUUGUCUCUAUAUCCGAGCGUAUUAGUGUUCGUCACUUUGAAGAAACUAAGUAUAAGUAGGUAAUUAUUUAUCCCAGUCAAGAAGGAACCUGGACACACACACAGGGUGAAGUGCGUGCGAAUAUUAUAAAGCACGCGGCACGUGACUGCAGCAAAGUGACCUAAAAUGGCACGUAUGGCUAUACGUUUCGGAUUGUAAUAGUCUUUGGUGUAGUUGGAGCUUCUGCAUACUGAAAAAAACACUAACAAUAAAAACUUCGUGAUUGAGAAACAGUUGGUAAUACCGCUUUCCGUGGCUUUUACUCUGACCGAAAGAAACAACUCGACGUUACUUUUAAACACCUUUCGUUCUUAUUAGCUUUGUUGUACUUAAUUGUUCGUGUGGAAGAACGUGCUUGUUUCAAGGAAUGUGAUUAUUCCCCUUUUGUGACGGUCAGGCCGAUAUUUCUACGACUAAUGACGUCAAUAAAAGUCUCUCUUUUUUUU